rnacentral:rRNA from 1 species
GAUGAACGCUGGCGGCGUGCCUAAUACAUGCAAGUCGAGCGAACAGACGAGGAGCUUGCUCCUCUGACGUUAGCGGCGGACGGGUGAGUAACACGUGGAUAACCUACCUAUAAGACUGGGAUAACUUCGGGAAACCGGAGCUAAUACCGGAUAAUAUAUUGAACCGCAUGGUUCAAUAGUGAAAGACGGUUUUGCUGUCACUUAUAGAUGGAUCCGCGCCGCAUUAGCUAGUUGGUAAGGUAACGGCUUACCAAGGCAACGAUGCGUAGCCGACCUGAGAGGGUGCAGCGGCACUGAGGAAGUGACAAGCGGCACAGGACCCUGGGGGGGGCAAGGGUGGGUAAGUUUCGCAAAGGGGGGAAAGCCUGAGGGAGAAACGCCGGGUGGGUGAAGAAGGUCUUCGGAUGGUAAAACUCUUUUUUUAGGGAAAAACAAAUGUGAAAGUAACUAUGCACGUUUGGACGGUACCAAAAAAGAAAGCCCCGGUAAACUACUG